rnacentral:Y_RNA from 1 species
GACUGGUUGAAGGUAAUGAGUUAUCUCACUUGAUUGUUCACAGUCAGUUACAGAUUGAACUCCUUGUUCUACUGCUUUCCCCCCUCCUCACACUGCACUUGACUAGUCUAAA